rnacentral:rRNA from 1 species
CCUACGGGAGGCAGCAGUGAGGAAUAUUGGUCAAUGGGCGCGAGCCUGAACCAGCCAAGUCGCGUGAGGGAAGACGGUCCUAUGGAUUGUAAACCUCUUUUGUCGGGGAGCAAAAGACGCCACGCGUGGCGUUCCGAGAGUACCCGAAGAAAAAGCAUCGGCUAACUCCGUGCCAGCAGCCGCGGUAAUACGGAGGAUGCGAGCGUUAUCCGGAAUCAUUGGGCGUAAAGAGGGAGCAGGCGGCCUGGAGGGUCUAUUGUUAAAAGGCAAUGGCUUAACCAUUGUAAGGCGAAGAAACCGGCAGGCUAGAGUUCUAAAGAGGAUCGUGGAAUUCCAUGUGUAGCGGUGAAAUGCGUAGAUAUAUGGAGGAACACCAGUGGCGAAGGUGACGAUCUGGGAAGAAACAGACGCUGAGUCCCGAAAGCGUGGGGAGCAAAUAGGAUUAGAUACCCUGGUAGUC